AUAGGUAUAAAUUAAUUUGCUGUCCAAGAAGAAUUAUAUGCUAAAGGUUCAGACUGUCAGUAUAAAUAGAUUUCUAAUGAUGUGAAGAGACCUACGGAUAAAGACACACCUUUCAAAUGAUUCAGAGAAUGGCAAGAGUUUUAAAAAUAUUGCUAUAAUAUAUAUACAUGGCCCAUACCAGACUCAACUAGGAAGGAAUCACCUCCGAAUGUAUUUUGCAGAUUUUUCAUUUCCAUGAAAUUUAUUUAAGUGGCAGAAAGUGACAGCAUGGUGGAGAUGAUGCAAUCAGCUUCCCAUUGGGGAAAAAGUCAGUGAAGAGACUGAAUCUCUGGAGAUCUGGAAGCCAACUAUGGGACAGCACUAACAACUUCCAAUGGGAAUUUUAUCCUGCCUUCUUUGUCCAGAUGGUUCACUGCAGUGAUGGAAGGACUCACAGAGGGGGUUUAUGGGGGUGUGGGGUGGGCAGCUUUCCUCAAGGCAAGAAGAAACAACAACAAUGGGGGAUCCUUCCUAUACCAACUGGGGCACAGAAGACCUCAAAAAGAAGAAUCCAAACUGAUGUCUAAUCUCACCAGGGUGCUGUCUCUCACAAUGCUCAACUGAACUCAAACACUGACUUUCCCUUGAUGUGAAUAAUUAUAAACACACUCUGCCACAA